rnacentral:lncRNA from 1 species
GAAAAGUAGAAUGCUAAAAAACAUUUGUAAGUGUUUUUAUUCACAGAGAUGGGUUCAAAUAGUAAUAUUUACAUUAGUAACUGUUUUUAAUAUUAAUAACCGAGUAUAUAUGUGAUUUUGAUAUAAAAAUGAGAAUAUUUUAUAAGUGGAGAAAAUGCUGUAAUUUUCUCUUCUCCUUCACGCAACCGUACUUCUCAAAUGGUACAGUAGUCUUUGAAGUUCACCGGGUCUCUUUAUGGACAACUGCUUUGCAUCAAUCUCCUCCUCCUCCUCCAGACACUACAAAAAAAUGUAGGCAGUUUAGAGUGAGUGGUUAAAUAAUACAACAAAAUCAAAAGGCAGUACAAAUCAAAUCAGUAAAGCAGUGCAAUGGUAAAAAAAUCAAAUCUGAAAAGCAGUGCAAUGCACAGAGAUAUGGACGAAUAUUACACAGUUGUACAGUCGACUAGACAUGUUCAUUAAAGACCACAAGAAAAAUUACAACGGAACUUUAUAAACAGUAAUUUGAUUGACGGGUUGGCAGACAUUGUCAAAAUGCCUCGAGAUGAUGCAAGGCGGUGGUACAAAUUCUUCACACCGGGUAAUACGCAAACAUAACCGUUGGAUAUCGAUUCGAGGAACGUGGUGGAAUUGACGCAGAUAGCGCAAAAUAGGUAUGGCGCAUGGGAUAUUUUCUGAGUUAAUAUAUCUGAUUCAAUAAGGAAAUAUAUUUGAAUCAAUGAAUAUUGAACAUCGAUAAUUAUUUUUCCAAAAUUUCUGCAUUUAAGGGAUAUGAACGUGUGCUUACAUUUAUGGGGAAAAUGAUUUAAGAGAUGACGAAAUCAAUGAAUACAGAGACUACGCGCGACCGAGCAGGUGACGUUUACAAAUGAACGGGAAUGCUGGAAUCGAAAUCAGAAAAACCUGAGGCAAGAUCGGAAUGCAUGAACGACGACUAUAUAUGGCGAGUAUGGAGAAGAGGAGAGAAAAUCAGUCUUCCGUCGGGUGACAUAAUGACUCGGGGAAGAAAAAUUAAAUGAGACAACCAAGCUACAGCAACAGGUAAGGUGGUGGCAGGACAAUCACGACCACCGUACCACCGCCGGUCUAAUCGGAGAGCUCGCCGCUGACAUCUACAACGGACGAUCACGCUUCGCCUAGCCAACAGACGGCAGAUCGGGUGUCUCACAGAACAAAUACCGUUCCUGAACUACCUCCUGUUGAAUUACAAUCCGGCACAGGCGGAGUCAUCAAAAAGAACGGAUUUUAUCAACACCGAACCGCCCGUCCUGUUCGCAGAGGAAGAAGCAGCUAAACAAGAUAUAACCACAUAUAAUCGGAAUCGGACAAGUUAUCUGCGGUCCGACGAUAGAUACGACAGAAGAACCAAGAAAUCAUCCCUUUUGGAUUUCCGCUAGCUCUGUUGAUCGUUGGAGGGAUUUAGAAAAAUAACUGUAUUUAGAAAGAAAAAUAAAAUGCUAAAAACAUUUGUA